UGCCUGACUUUGAGAUGAGAGGCAAGGUUCACCUUCUGCUUUCUAGGAACACAGACCAUGCUCCAACUCCAAACCUGGACUGAGGGUGGUAACUCCAGAGACUGGGCCACCUGCUCCAGAAAUAGGCUUUAUCACAAUCCUUGCAGCUAUCAGGUCCACCGGCUGCUGGGAUUGGGGCUCCCUAUCUCAAAAGAGGUGUGCUCUGGCUGGCACCUCUGUGUUGUAAACCAUCGAGCUGGUCCUGAUGAACUGUGUAUGUCAUGCAAAUGCAGACAAUAGAGCGACCAGGAGAACAGGAAUCACUUUGCAGACAGAAAAGGAUGAAAUAGCUGCUCAGAGGAAUCAGGGUUCUUUAUGUGGAUUCUGUACUUCUCCAAAGCACCUUGUAAACAUACAAAUGAAACAAAACUUUAAUAAAAUUCUAUUAAAUCUGCAGAUUGAAAAGGAGUAAUAUAUGUUAGUCCUUAUAAUGUCAUGGAUCGCAUGUAGCCAUGCUUUUUUUUUUUAAUACUAUUUUAAUUAUUUCUGUGUCCUUAAAUCCUUGAGCUCAUGCCUGGAAUGUUAAUAGAUUUUGAGUGAGUUUAUCUUUUAAAACAGAGUAGGAUAAACACUAGCUAAUCCUAAUUAAUCCACUGCAUGUUUAGUAGUUCCAGUAAAUAACAAAACAACAAGACAGCAAUGAAUAGGAUUUAAAAUUUUUGGCUGACUUGUAAAUCAUUGAACUCAACCAAUGUGAUGGAUUUGGCAUGUCAUCACAUAUCUCAGUAGGGAAAUAUUUGGAUUAUAGAAAUUUACACCACAAUCAAGCAUUUUUUUACUUCAGGGGCGUUAGGUCUCAAACCUGGGCUAACUGAGCUGUUACAUUAGCAAAGCAGAGAAAGUCUGGGAGGUUUUCCCCACAUCCCUCAGCCCCUACCUGUUGUAGGGUCCUCCUGGCAUACCCUGACUACUACCCUAAACUUCUCCAGACUAGUGACUGGGCUGGGCCGCCUUUUCCCCAGCUCAGCAGCUCUUCCCUACAUAGCCCAGCCAUUUCGCUAUGCUGGUCCUUUUGGCCUUUUGACCUCUUGGUCUCCCCUCUCCUCUGUCCUCAUAUGGCCCUGCUCAGUCUGUUGGUCAUGUCCAUUCUGGACUCGUUUACAUGUCUGUCUGUCCCUCUCUAUGUGCUCUCCCUCAUAUCUACAAUAAACCACCUCCUCCACUAUACCUAGGAGCAGUCGUGUCCUUCUAUUUAUUUAAUUUGUUGGAUACAGUCCCGAGGCACAGUAGCAAGAGUAGUGCAAAACAAAAGGGUGGGGUGUUGUUCCUGAUUUCUAUUAUUAACCACAGGAAUGACUUUGGACUGGGCACACCUCCAGGGCCUGUUAAAGACUUGUCUAUAAACAGAGUUCUGUCAGGUUUCUUCCAGUUUUAAUACUGGGAGAUUUACUUCCUGAUCAUGGUGGUGCACCUGAAGGUCACUGCGAUGAAGUGGGAAAUGACCUGGUGAGAGACUGCCAACUUUGGUUGUGGGGGACAGUAAAAUAUAUAAUAAGAAACUUAAGCUUAACUUCAGAGAUUUACAAGUAUUAUACAGAGCUUUUUUUUUUUUCUAAACAUGUUACAUGUUGAAACAAAGGUAUUAACCUUCGUUAUAUCAAGUGAAGGUCUUUAGAGCCGAGGACUAGAGCUUAGGCCUUGAGAUUCAUCAUUGUGUAUAGAAAGAUUUAGCCUCCAGGGAUUUGAAGGAGACAGUGUAUGAAAAGAAUGGGCCAAAAGCAUCUUCAAGAACGAAAUGCAUCUCCAAAAAGCAAGUGGUAGGAUUAUGAGGAAGAUAAGAUACCUUAAACUCAUUUUUAAUAUGGUGACAAUUCCACCAUUAACUUCAUAGCAUUUGGGUUAAAUACUUGCCAAACACACUUAGAAAGGACAUUUCUGGAUCUCAUUUUCUAUUAGAACAAUAGAGUUGGAACAGAUGAUCCUUGACUCUCUUUCAGCUUUGGCAACAUGUGGUUUAAUUUUGAAUCUCCGAGUAAUAGAGGAAUCCCCCAUACAACCCUCUCCCAUCUUUGGUUUACUGACUUUUUCUCUGGGGUUAGAAGGGCCAAAGGCUAAAAUUGCUACAACCUGCACCCACUCCUAAGAAAUGCUGUGCCAAAUUAAUUCUGUCAUGUCUCCAGUUAGGGACAUCCUCUGCCAGUGCUGAUGGGUCCAAAGAGGAAAUCUCACAUGGUUAGAGCGCCAAUGGCCAGUUACUAGUGGAAUAAGCCAGCAGUUGCUUGGGACGUUCCUCAAGAUCUUUGCUCUUUAAGUCUUUCUUACUCACAGUGGUAUAGUUCCCCGUUAGUCACUGUCAAUUCAAGUGAAGAAAAAUGUCGCACGUCUACCUGGGUUGUUUCCUUCCUCUCAUGAGCUGGAUGAUUGUUCAAAAGGAUGACAGUUUUGGUUGGGUGGCCCAGCAGCCUGAAGCUCGAAGAGAUAUGCUUUAGUUGGCCCUUGCCUUGCAUUUUGACCAAUGAAAGAGUUCUUUUAGAUCACCAAAACUGGUAAUGAUUAGUAUGAUUACCAAUGACUGUAAUGUCUCUGAGGGCUCUCAAAUACACUGCGCCUAUACGUGUCUGCAAGGGUUUUAAGAGUAAAUUUAGUAUGCUUGGUAGCUCUCAGUCCUAUUGACUCACAUCACAGCUUGUGAUCCCUCCACAUCUCUGUCAAGAUGUGUGAUCCCACCUUAAACUUGGUUAAGCAAAACUAAGAAUUUGACCAGAUAAUUCAGAAGCCUUGAAAUAACAAUAGCUUCAGUGUUGAUUAUGUCCAGGGGCUUAAAUAUGAUCAAGACUCUUACUAAAUCUUGAGCCUUCCUGUGUCCUUGUGUUGGCACUGUUUCUGGGUAAGAUCCCCAUGCAUGGUGGCAAAUGUGGCUCAUGUCAUAGUUCUCUGAGACUCAGAAGAAGAAAAAAAAGUGACUCUUAUCUCAUAAUUCCAGUUAAUAUUCUGGUAAGAGGUCUGACUGGGCAAACAUGGGUCACAAGCCUUCUAUUGCUGUUGUCACUGUACAACUGUGGAGAGAAAAUCCCCGAAGAGCCUGGCCAGGGGUACCUCCAAGCGUUAGUACUAUGGAUGCAGGGGAGAGGUGCUACACAGGUGCUGGUUGACUAUGUGGUUCCUCACAUAGUUAUGGGCACCUUUCCAGGAGAACCAGAGAAGGCCCUUAGACCACAUUGUUGUAAGUCAAUGCCUUCUGUACAAUUGCUUGAUGUCAACAGUAGCUUUACUAAGUUUCCAGAAGGAUCUCUUUCUGUUUACACUUCCUAAAGUGUAUUUUGCUGUGAUAUGACCAACCAUCGGGCAGGAGACCCUUUGCCACUGGAAUUAUUGCUUUUCUUGGACAUCUUUAAGCAUAGAUCUGGCACGAUACCUGGGGACAGUCUAGACUCCCACAUCAGAGGCCCUGGAUUCAAAUUUAAGUUCAUAUUCUGAGUUGUGGCUGAGGCUUAGCCAUAUCACCCCAAUUUC